rnacentral:rRNA from 1 species
UACGUAGGGGGCAAGCGUUGUCCGGAGUUACUGGGCGUAAAGGGCACGCAGGCGGUCGACUGCGUCGGGGGUGACAGUCCUCGGCUUACCUGAGGAAGGGCUCCCGAAACGGGUCGACUUGAGGGCCAGAGAGGGAGACGGAACUCCGGGUGGAGCGGUGAAAUGCGUAGAGAUCCGGAAGAACACCGAAGGCGUAGGCAGUCUCCUGGCUGGUUCCUGACGCUCAGGUGCGAAAGCGAGGGGAGCAAACAGG